GACGAACCGUGCGAACGUUGUUCGGAAUCACUGGGCUUAAAGGGCGCGUAGGCGGGGAGGUAAGUCAGGGGUGAAAGCCCACGGCCCAACCGUGGAAGUGCCUUUGAUACUGCCUGUCUCGAGGGAGGUAGGGGCGUGCGGAACUUCCGGUGGAGCGGUGAAAUGCGUAGAUAUCGGAAGGAACACCGGUGGCGAAAGCGCUCUACUGGACUGCAACUGACACUCAGGGACGAAAGCUAGGGGAGCGAAUGGG
rnacentral:rRNA from 1 species